rnacentral:rRNA from 1 species
UACCAGCACCCCGAGUGGUCGGGACGAUUAUUGGGCCUAAAGCAUCCGUAGCCGGUUUUACAAGUCCUCCGUUAAAUCCAGCUGCUUAACAGAUGGGCUGCGGAGGAUACUAUAUGACUAGGAGGCAGGAGAGGCAAGCGGUACUCAGUGGGUAGGGGUAAAAUCCGUUGAUCCAUUGAAGACCACCAGUGGCGAAGGCGGCUUGCCAGAACGCGCUCGACGGUGAGGGAUGAAAGCUGGGGGAGCAACCGG